rnacentral:rRNA from 1 species
AUUGAACGCUGGCGGCAGGCAACACAUGCAAGUCGAGCGGCAGCGACUUAACUGAACUUCGGGGAACGUUAAGGGCGGCGAGCGGCGGACGGGUGAGUAAUGCCUGGGAAUAUGCCCUGAUGUGGGGGAUAACUAUUGGAAACGAUAGCUAAUACCGCAUAAUCUCUUCGGAGCAAAGAGGGGGACCUUCGGGCCUCUCGCGUCAGGAUUAGCCCAGGUGGGAUUAGCUUGUUGGUGAGGUAAUGGCUCACCAAGGCUACGAUCCCUAGCUGGUCUGAGAGGAUGAUCAGCCACACUGGAACUGAGACACGGUCCAGACUCCUACGGGAGGCAGCAGUGGGGAAUAUUGCACAAUGGGGGAAACCCUGAUGCAGCCAUGCCGCGUGUGUGAAGAAGGCCUUCGGGUUGUAAAGCACUUUCAGUAGGGAGGAAGGUAGUGUAGUUAACACCUGCAUUAUUUGACGUUACCUACAGAAGAAGCACCGGCUAACUCCGUGCCAGCAGCCGCGGUAAUACGGAGGGUGCGAGCGUUAAUCGGAAUUACUGGGCGUAAAGCGCAUGCAGGCGGCCUGUUAAGUCAGAUGUGAAAGCCCGGGGCUUAACCUCGGAAUUGCAUUUGAAACUGGCAGGCUAGAGUCUUGUAGAGGGGGGUAGAAUUUCAGGUGUAGCGGUGAAAUGCGUAGAGAUCUGAAGGAAUACCAGUGGCGAAGGCGGCCCCCUGGACAAAGACUGACGCUCAGAUGCGAAAGCGUGGGGAGCAAACAGG